CACAACUUCAGGCCAUUCUCUUGGAUCCUGGUAACUUCACAUCUGGAAAGGACUCUACAUGCCAGUGAAGAGGGCUGCUUGUUCUGUACUCUAGAGAGGCCUUGGUUUCCUGUUGAACCUCUGCCUUUGCCAGCUCCCUGUUUUGUCCUGAUGCCCAAUGCAGCAGUAAGUGGAAUGGGAGACACUGCACGAGGAUGGCCAUUGCUGAAGUGCAUGUGUUGCAUCACGUGUUGCUCAUCAGGUAUGUAUAGGAGAGACUUGAAAGAGGAUUAUUUCUUGCUGGAGCUUUAAACUGAGAGCCCAUUAUGGAACCUUUUGAGGUGAGCUUCGCUGGCUUUAGAGAACUUAAAAUAGUAGAAAUAGUAAGAUACUAAGAUAGGAUUUUUAAAACUUAGAGCUACUUCUUUUGCCUUCUCGAGCAUGAUCUGAUAAAACUUUAGUAAAAAUGCCCAGAUGGACAGCUUUUCUUGCAUGCAUCAGCCUUUAUAUCAUUAUGUAGUAAUGUCUAAGAUCAGCUGUGAGUCAGUUUU
rnacentral:lncRNA from 1 species